CCUACGGGAGGCAGCAGUAGGGAAUAUUGCUCAAUGGGGGAAACCCUGAAGCAGCAACGCCGCGUGGAGGAUGAAGGUUUUCGGAUUGUAAACUCCUUUUGUUAGAGAAGAUAAUGACGGUAUCUAACGAAUAAGCACCGGCUAACUCCGUGCCAGCAGCCGCGGUAAUACGGAGGGGGCAAGCGUUACUCGGAAUCACUGGGCGUAAAGAGCGCGUAGGCGGGAUAGCAAGUCAGAUGUGAAAUCCUAUGGCUUAACCAUAGAACUGCAUUUGAAACUGUUAUUCUAGAGUAUGGGAGAGGUAGGUGGAAUUCUUGGUGUAGGGGUGAAAUCCGUAGAGAUCAAGAGGAAUACUCGUUGCGAAGGCGACCUGCUGGAACAUAACUGACGCUGAUGCGCGAAAGCGUGGGGAGCAAACAGGAUUAGAUACCCCUGUAGUC
rnacentral:rRNA from 1 species